AUGGUCUUGCUGCUGGGACCGAUAAAUUUUGAAAUCAACGAUCAAUUGGGAUUGUCUGAAAAAGGUUGAUUUAGCCCAUUACAAAUCGCACUCGGAGGUGUAGAUGGCAAGAGAAGGCCUGGUUAGAGCCCAUCCAUGCUCGAAUAUAGCUUCAAAGCUUGAACAUCCCCCAAGAUGUUUCAAUGGCAACAUUUUUGCAAGUAUGAAUAAGGUUUUUAAAUUUAAUGCAAUCUUUGAGUUGUCGGCUGAGGAGGUAAAUGGGCUCUGCUUAAGCAAAGAAUGAACCUGAAUAUGCAUUGACCGAGCACGAAUACCAUGAAAACGAAAACGACAAAAUAUGCCCAUGCCGGGGAAUGGAUAGUUCUUGGGAGGCUGGCACCAUUUUGUUUUCUAAGAAAUAUGGAGUAAAAUCUAAUUUCUAUGGUCUUAUAUCCACGUGUGUGUGUGUGUGUGUGUGGUGAACAACAAACAUGCAGAAAUGAAUUAACCACAAAGUAAAUGAUCAUUUACUACAAGCUGAUGACCUCUUUACAUUCUACAAGGUGCAUGAGCUGAUGAGCAAAUGCAA